rnacentral:rRNA from 1 species
GACGAACGCUGGCGGCGUGCUUAACACAUGCAAGUCGAGCGGUAAGGCCCGUUUCGGGGGUACACGAGCGGCGAACGGGUGAGUAACACGUGGGUGACCUGCCCUUAGCUCUGGGAUAAGCCUGGGAAACUGGGUCUAAUACCGGAUAUGACUCCAUGACGCAUGUUGUGGGGUGGAAAGCCUUGUGCGGCUAGGGAUGGGCCCGCGGCCUAUCAGCUUGUUGGUGGGGUGAUGGCCUACCAAGGCGACGACGGGUAGCCGGCCUGAGAGGGCGACCGGCCACACUGGGACUGAGACACGGCCCAGACUCCUACGGGAGGCAGCAGGUGGGGAAUCUUGCGCAAUGGGCGAAAGCCUGACGCAGCGACGCCGCGUGAGGGAUGACGGCC